rnacentral:lncRNA from 1 species
GAGUUUUAUACGUGGGACUACAAAAAUUCUCCAAGAAACAUGUAAUUUACAUUAUAGAGACUAUACAAGUUGAAUUUCAAUAGAUCCCUAAGAUUUAGGAGACCUAAGUCUGAACAACUUAUGGAGAAACUGAAGAAUUGUAAGAAUUAUAGGGACCUAAUAGGUGAAAGGAACCCACUAGUGAAUUCCCACAUACCUGGUGAUGAAAAUUACAGAGAAAUACUUUGGAUUUUGGGGCUGAACUUGAAGAAGACAUACUUGUUCUUUGGAGAAACUGUCG